UUGGCGCUGCUGUCGUUGGUGCUGCCGUGGUAGGUGCUGCUGUUGUAGGUGCGGCAGUUGUAGGUGCGGCUGUUGUAGGUGCGGAAGUUGUAGGUGCUUCUGUUGUAGGUGCAGCAGUUGUAGGUGCUGCUCUAAUAGGUGU